rnacentral:rRNA from 1 species
CCUACGGGAGGCAGCAGUGGGGAAUAUUGCACAAUGGGGGAAACCCUGAUGCAGCGACGCCGCGUGAGUGAGGAAGUAUUUCGGUAUGUAAAGCUCUAUCAGCAGGGAAGAAAAUGACGGUACCUGACUAAGAAGCCCCGGCUAACUACGUGCCAGCAGCCGCGGUAAUACGUAGGGGGCAAGCGUUAUCCGGAUUUACUGGGUGUAAAGGGAGCGUAGACGGCUAAUCAAGUCAGAAGUGAAAACCCAGGGCUCAACCUUGGGAGUGCUUUUGAAACUGGCGUGCUCGAGUUGGAGAGAAGUAUGCGGAAUUCGUGGUGUAGCGGUGAAAUGCAUAGAUAUCACGAAGAACCCCGAUUGCGAAGGCAGCAUACCGGCUCCACACUGACGCUGAGGCACGAAAGCGUGGGUAUCGAACAGGAUUAGAUACCCCAGUAGUC